rnacentral:rRNA from 1 species
GCAGUCGAACGCGUUGGCCCAAUUGAUUGAUGGUGCUUGCACCUGAUUGAUUUUGGUCGCCAACGAGUGGCGGACGGGUGAGUAACACGUAGGUAACCUGCCCAGAAGCGGGGGACAACAUUUGGAAACAGAUGCUAAUACCGCAUAACAGCGUUGUUCGCAUGAACAACGCUUAAAAGAUGGCUUCUCGCUAUCACUUCUGGAUGGACCUGCGGUGCAUUAGCUUGUUGGUGGGGUAACGGCCUACCAAGGCGAUGAUGCAUAGCCGAGUUGAGAGACUGAUCGGCCACAAUGGGACUGAGACACGGCCCAUACUCCUACGGGAGGCAGCAGUAGGGAAUCUUCCACAAUGGGCGCAAGCCUGAUGGAGCAACMCCGCGUGAGUGAAGAAGGGUUUCGGCUCGUAAAGCUCUGUUGUUAAAGAAGAACACGUAUGAGAGUAACUGUUCAUACGUUGACGGUAUUUAACCAGAAAGUCACGGCUAACUACGUGCCAGCAGCCGCGGUAAUACGUAGGUGGCAAGCGUUAUCCGGAUUUAUUGGGCGUAAAGAGAGUGCAGGCGGUUUUCUAAGUCUGAUGUGAAAGCCUUCGGCUUAACCGGAGAAGUGCAUCGGAAACUGGAUAACUUGAGUGCAGAAGAGGGUAGUGGAACUCCAUGUGUAGCGGUGGAAUGCGUAGAUAUAUGGAAGAACACCAGUGGCGAAGGCGGCUACCUGGUCUGCAACUGACGCUGAGACUCGAAAGCAUGGGUAGCGAACAGGAUUAGAUACCCUGGUAGUCCAUGCCGUAAACGAUGAGUGCUAGGUGUUGGAGGGUUUCCGCCCUUCAGUGCCGGAGCUAACGCAUUAAGCACUCCGCCUGGGGAGUACGACCGCAAGGUUGAAACUCAAAGGAAUUGACGGGGGCCCGCACAAGCGGUGGAGCAUGUGGUUUAAUUCGAAGCUACGCGAAGAACCUUACCAGGUCUUGACAUCUUGCGCCAACCCUAGAGAUAGGGCGUUUCCUUCGGGAACGCAAUGACAGGUGGUGCAUGGUCGUCGUCAGCUCGUGUCGUGAGAUGUUGGGUUAAGUCCCGCAACGAGCGCAACCCUUGUUACUAGUUGCCAGCAUUAAGUUGGGCACUCUAGUGAGACUGCCGGUGACAAACCGGAGGAAGGUGGGGACGACGUCAGAUCAUCAUGCCCCUUAUGACCUGGGCUACACACGUGCUACAAUGGACGGUACAACGAGUCGCGAACUCGCGAGGGCAAGCAAAUCUCUUAAAACCGUUCUCAGUUCGGACUGCAGGCUGCAACUCGCCUGCACGAAGUCGGAAUCGCU